GACGAACGCUGGCGGCGCGCUUAACACAUGCAAGUCGAACGGAAAGGCCUGCUUUCCCUUGUGGAUUGCGGGUACUCGAGUGGCGAACGGGUGAGUAACACGUGAGUGAUCUGCCCCCAACUUGGGUAUAAGCCUGGGAAACUGGGUCUAAUUCCCGAUAGGACUGCAGGGUGGUGCCUGUGGUGGAAAACGAUUUUCUAGUGGUUGGGGAUGAGCUCGCGGCCUAUCAGCUUGUUGGUGGGGUAAUGGCCUACCAAGGCGGCGACGGGUAGCCGGCCUGGGAGGGUGGACGGACACAUUGGGACUGAGAUACGGCCCAGACUCCUACGGGAGGCAGCAGUGGGGAAUAUUGCACAAUGGGCGGAAGCCUGAUGCAGAGACGCCGCGUGGGGGAUGACGGCAUUCGGGUUGUAAACUCCUUUCGACCGCGAGGAAGCCACCUGGUUGGAAGGGUGGUGACGGUAGUGGUAGAAGAAGCACCGGCUAACUACGUG
rnacentral:rRNA from 1 species